AGUGAACGCUGGCGGUAGGCCUAACACAUGCAAGUCGAACGGCAGCACAGUAAGAGCUUGCUCUUACGGGUGGCGAGUGGCGGACGGGUGAGGAAUACAUCGGAAUCUACUUUUUCGUGGGGGAUAACGUAGGGAAACUUACGCUAAUACCGCAUACGGCCUACGGGUGAAAGCAGGGGAUCUUCGGACCUUGCGCGAUUGAAUGAGCCGGUGUCGGAUUAGCUAGUUGGCGGGGUAAAGGCCCACCAAGGCGACGAUCCGUAGCUGGUCUGAGAGGAUGAUCAGCCACACUGGAACUGAGACACGGUCCAGACUCCUACGGGAGGCAGCAGUGGGGAAUAUUGGACAAUGGGCGCAAGCCUGAUCCAGCCAUACCGCGUGGGUGAAGAAGGCCUUCGGGUUGUAAAGCCCUUUUGUUGGGAAAGAAAAGCAGCAGGUUAAUACCCCGCUGUUCUGACGGUACCCAAAGAAUAAGCACCGGCUAACUUCGUG
rnacentral:rRNA from 1 species